rnacentral:lncRNA from 1 species
AAAGAGAAUGUGAGUUUAAAAACUAAUUCAGAGCCUCAGCUGUGCUCCCAUGGCUUCACAUUUGGGACCAUUGUAGCCCCACUUUAUUAUCAGGUUUUUAAAAACAUGGAAACAGAGAGACAAGACUUCUUUCCAAAACCAUUGGAUAGGUCAUUUAGGGAACUGGAGGAUGAGAGUCAAAGAGCGGUCAAAGCCCACGAGACCCCAGACAUUUGGCCAGAGUCUUGCAUAUUUACAAAACAGACAGUACAUGAUAUUAGUGUUGGCAUCUGCAAUGAAUCAGCAGAACAGAACCCACAACAUACAGUAAACCCAACCAAAACUCUUUCUGAGCCAAUUCAGUGUAAACAUGUUGAGAAGGCAGAAGCUUCUUACAAUCAAAACUAUUAUACCGGUGGUAUCCGAGAGUACCCAAGAGACAUCAAAUUUACUGAAACAAACCUUCCAAAAGUUACAUCCAGGCAGCCAAAUCCUCCACUUGGAGAAGUUUCAACAGUGUGCACACAAGUUUUCACUGAAUGCUUGUUCCAGGAUGAUUCUUGCCAAAGUUUAUGUUUAUUUCCCCUACAAGGACCAGAACUUUUAGCCACUACAAAUGAAACAAUAGAGUCAGGUAUUGACAGCCUACCUGAACAGAUCCAUCCUUCAUUACCCAUAGAGGUUUUCAAAACUUCAUGUUUGGAUAAUCAGAGGUCCUUUAUAAAAACUGAAAAGUCACAAAACCAGGAAGACCCUACAAAUAUCUACACCAAAGAGGAAAAUAUAUCAGUGCAAACAGAAUAUUCAAUCAGCACCUCUUGCAUUCUUGCCCAAUCUCCAGAUGACCCCACAAGGAUCAGCUUGGGUUCCUCUGAUGAUAAAUUAGAGUCUGACUGGUGUGAGAUGAGAUCGAGCAUUGAAAAACUUUCUCAUUUAGCAAUAGCAACAACUAUGCCAAUAGAACCAUAUACAGAAUUGGAGAACACACAGAUAAAUAUGAGCAAUACUUUGGAGAGCUGCCAAAUUAAUGAAAAGAAGGAACAAAUGCUCAUGGGUUUUUCUACACAGACUUCAGAGAUGGAGAGCUCCAGUAUUAUUAAUUUUGAUGGAGAAUGUAACACAUCAGUGAUUAAAGAGAUAGAAGAAAUUCACAAAAGCCUGGAAGAGCAAGAAAAGGGAAAUGGAAAUCAAAUUAAGCAGAUGGAGAAGCAGAAACAAGACAAAGAGGAGAAANNNNNNNNNNNNNNNNNNNNN